UCAGAUCUAUAAGAAUACAAAUGAUCUUGGUAUUCAUGGGCAACACCGUUGCGCUCAGAACACUACGACGAAGGGAGCCUUACCAUUCAACGUCGAAUUCACGCAGCUCCAGAAGUCCACCUGAAAGAAGAUUCAAACAUUAUACGUGAGUGAAGAUAGUCGUGACCAAAAAAAAGGGAAAAGGAAAAUGUUAAAGGAAAGUGUCGUGGUCGAUCGCGACCGCAAGUCCCAAGAUCAUUUUUCGUGAAGCUACCACUGUAUUGAAAAAGAAAAAGUUCGGAUCACAUUGCAGACGCCCCGAAUCGUUUAAAGCGCUCAUUGUCAGCAGGUUUCCGAUUCAAAACUCAAAUUGAAUGAAUGGAAAGAACGGGUGUCGAUCGCGCAGCACUACGUCUGAAGAUUCACGCGACGACUCACCAGUUCCAUCGAGCAGAACUCCAGCAGACGUUGGGUGGCGUUCUCCCGUGCUUCAAUCUGCGCACCCAGCACUACCAAGGAUAUCUAAACAUACGACAAAAUUUCCUUCUGAGAGAAGCAAGAUUAAAAUCGUGACGCGACUGAAGAAAAAGAAACCCACGAGUAAAAGCCAUCUCGACGGAUUUCAUUACGAAGAUCUGAAGUCACAACGCAAUCACGUAAGUGAUUUCAACAGAUCCCGCGGGGCGUCAACCGGCCAAACAUCCACCCCGCUGGAGACCCUCGAAAUUCGAAAUGCAGAAUGGCGCAUUAGCGGUCAUUAAGAAUCAAGGACACGAAUGCAGCGCGGUCCCCGCGAUUUCCUGUUGCUCGUCACUGAAUGACAAUCGUCCUCUCGGCCAGAUAUCGGCCGUAUGUUCGCGCGUCUCGUCCUCAUUCUGAAUUCAAUCGGUGUCCUCGGCGAGGACACGCCGGAUCCAUCCUGUAUGUCCAUCACGAUCACGAGUUACGGGCCAUCCAUCAACAUGGUGGGUCUUGACGGGCCUUGGCGAUAGGCCCAGUCAAAGGUCGCAUUCGACAACGGAUAUAAAUUAUCGACCGACCUGUUCAUGUUUCUCAAAUAGAUGAUAUUUGCCGACUUCAGUAAGUGGAAACUAUAGUCCGACGAGAAGCGACAUGUUUGUCGAGGAUCUUUUCUCCGCUUUCCCGCCGACACGAAACAGACGCGUGUCCUGUGUUAUAUCAGAAUGAGAGGAGCGUAGCGGUGUGGAGUGGAAAGGGCAAGGAGAGGAUCCGCUUUCAUGAGUCCAGAUGAGAGCACGUACGAUGUGUCAAAACUUCACUGUCCCUUCGGAGGACCUCACAUACGGUGUAUCCUGCGACUAAAUCCGACAUGGGAAAGGAAAGGAAAGAAGCGGAAGAGAAAACUGGCUUGCAGCCAGGCGUGCAGUCGAGGAACAUUCCGUGUCCCCUUUCUUCCCAGCGUCUUCAAUUAUUAAACGACGACGGAGGGGAAUUGUCCGGCGCGUCACUCGGAUCGAACGAGCGAAUAAAUUAUCCUGACGACUGGCUGACUCGUACUUUCGUACUUGACGACAAGCCACGACGCCGUCAUGCAUCAUCUUCGAAAGGUCAAUUGCCUCUACAGCACGCGAUACUUGUGAUGUAAUUAUACACGCGUCGAGGAGCGCGGUUGUCCCUACGUUUCCGUGACGUGAAUGGUCGUCAACGAGCGUUCCUCUUGGCACGUCGCGUUCGACGUGAAAGAUCUUUAACGACUUUACGGGGUUAACAUGCGGGUUCGAUCAAAGUGACUCGUGUGUGUGUACGUGAAAGGGAUCUCUUGAAUGGUGACUGCAAUCGUAAAGACCGGCCACGCCGCCAGACACGGUGCACGUAUGUAUGCAUUGCGUUACAAUGAAGUUAAUAGAUACCAAUUAACGGCAAAUUGUACCCCUCUCUGUCCCCACUCUCCAACUCUUGCUUCGCUUGGAAGAACCGUUUGAUACCGGUUACACACGUACAAUCACGUGUAAGUGCACUUUUUGCAGAUUGAUGGUAUUCGAAAAAUGAAACUAAAUGGUUUUGUACUUUCUCUACGCGCAUUGUGCAAUUUUCUCCGUACAAACUACUCCGAAAUAAUUCAAUAAUUCGUUACAAUAAAGUUAAUAGAUACCAGUUAACGGCAAGUUAUGUCUUUCUCUCACCAUUCGCUCUCGUGUCGCUU